GUUUGCAUUCGGUUAUAUAUAAUAUGUAUCCGAUACCAUAAUUUAUAUUAUGUAUGCCUAAGUAAUGUUUACGUAUGUUGUCCCGGUAGCACGACUUUACGCGCCUUUAAUUUGAAGAGUUCCACUAAUGGAAAUGAUAAGUAUUGACCCAGUUUAACCCUGGUGGCUGCUGUGUAAUCACUGUCAACGACAGGACAAGGCUUUUGACCACGAUAAAUCACUGUAGACUAUCGUGACUUUGGUGAAAAGAUCAAGUACAAGAUAGCAAGAAAAAGAAAUCAAAAUUAUGGCCGAAUCGCAACAAAAUCCUCAGCAGCGAUUUUGAAAAAAAGGGACCUCGAACGAUUUAUUAGGAAACUCGGCCCAGACAGGGUCGAUUCAGAAACAUAAUAUUAUGGAGAUUCUAGUAUACCAACCUUUGAGUUAGUAAUGAUGAUACUGAAUUUGGUAUGUGAGACCUUGUAGCGAGAAUUUGGCGGGGAAAUUAGUGUUCUACAGUUCUGAUGACCUUGAUUAAAUGAUCUCAACAUAA